rnacentral:rRNA from 1 species
AGUAACGGCGAAGUGAAGCGGCAACAGCUCAAAUUUGAAAUCUGGUCCUCGCGGCCCGAGUUUGUAAUUUGUAGAGGAUGCUUUUGGACAGGUGCCUUCUGAGUUCCCUGGAACGGGACGCCAGAGAGGGUGAGAGCCCCGUAUAGUCGGACACCUAGCCUCUGUAAAGCUCCUUCGACGAGUCGAGUAGUUUGGGAAUGCUGCUCAAAAUGGGAGGUAUAUCUCUUCUAAAGCUAAAUAUAGGCCAGAGACCGAUAGCGCACAAGUAGAGUGAUCGAAAGAUGAAAAGCACUUUGAAAAGAGGGUUAAAUAGCACGUGAAAUUGUUGAAAGGGAAGCGCUUGUGACCAGACUUGUGCCGGGCUGAUCAUCCAGUGUUCUCACUGGUGCACUCGACCCGGCUCAGGCCAGCGUCGGUUCUCGCGGGGGGAUAAAAGCUUCGGGAACGUGGCUCCCUCCGGGAGUGUUAUAGCCCGUUGUUUAAUACCUCCGCGGGGACCGAGGUUCGCGCUCUGCAAGGACGCUGGCAUAAUGGUCAUCAGCGACCCGUCUUGAAACACGGACCAAGGAGUCGAGGUUUUGCGCGAGUGUUUGGGUGUAAAACCCGCACGCGUAAUGAAAGUGAACGUAGGUGAGAGCUUCGGCGCAUCAUCGACCGAUCCUGAUGUAUUCGGAUGGAUUUGAGUAAGAGCGUAUAGCCUCGGACCCGAAAGAUGGUGAACUAUGCCUGAAUAGGGUGAAGCCAGAGGAAACUCUGGUGGAGGCUCGCAGCGGUUCUGACGUGCAAAUCGAUCGUCAAAUUU